rnacentral:rRNA from 1 species
UGGGGAAUAUUGGACAAUGGGCGCAAGCCUGAUCCAGCCAUGCCGCGUGAGUGAUGAAGGCCUUAGGGUUGUAAAGCUCUUUCGCCGACGAAGAUAAUGACGGUAGUCGGAGAAGAAGCCCCGGCUAACUUCGUGCCAGCAGCCGCGGUAAUAACGAAGGGGGCUAGCGUUGUUCGGAAUCACUGGGCGUAAAGCGCACGUAGGCGGAUUGUUAAGUCAGGGGUGAAAGCCUGGAGCUCAAUUCCAGAACUGCCCUUGAUACUGGCAAUCUCGAGUCCGGAAGAGGUAAGUGGAACUGCGAGUGUAGAGGUGAAAUUCGUAGAUAUUCGCAAGAACACCAGUGGCGAAGGCGGCUUACUGGUCCGGUACUGACGCUGAGGUGCGAAAAGCGUGGGGAGCAAAACAGGAUUAGAUACCCUGGUAGUCCACGCCGUAAAACGAUGGAGGCUAGCCGUUGGCGAGCAUGCUCGUCAGUGGCGCAGCUAACG